UAUUGGACAAUGGGCGCAAGCCUGAUCCAGCAAUGCCGCGUGAGUGAAGAAGGCCUUAGGCUUGUAAAGCUCUUUCGCCCGCGACGAUGAUGACGGUAGCGGGAGAAGAAGCCCCGGCUAACUCCGUGCCAGCAGCCGCGGUAAUACGGAGGGGGCUAGCGUUGUUCGGAAUUACUGGGCGUAAAGGGCGCGUAGGCGGCCCGUCAAGUCAGGCGUGAAAGUCCCGGGCUCAACCCGGGGACGGCGCUUGAGACUGGCGGGCUCGAGUCCGGGAGAGGAUGGCGGAAUUCCCAGUGUAGAGGUGAAAUUCGUAGAUAUUGGGAAGAACACCGGUGGCGAAGGCGGCCAUCUGGACCGGCACUGACGCUGAGGCGCGAAAGCGUGGGGAGCAAACAGG
rnacentral:rRNA from 1 species